ACGCGUCAAGUAGAGCCUGAACACUCGCUUAAUUUAAGCAUAUUAGUAAGCGAAG
rnacentral:rRNA from 1 species